UUACGGCCACAUCACGUUGAAACACCGGUUCACGUACGAUCACUGAAGUUAAGCAACGUCGAGCCGCGUCAGUAUUUAGAUGGAUUACAACUUGAAAAUAUCAGCUGCUGUAA